rnacentral:rRNA from 1 species
CCUACGGGAGGCAGCAGUGGGGAAUUUUGGACAAUGGGCGCAAGCCUGAUCCAGCAAUGCCGCGUGAGUGAAGAAGGCCUUCGGGUUGUAAAGCUCUUUUGUCAGGGAAGAAACGGCUGAGGCUAAUAUCCUCGGCUAAUGACGGUACCUGAAGAAUAAGCACCGGCUAACUACGUGCCAGCAGCCGCGGUAAUACGUAGGGUGCAAGCGUUAAUCGGAAUUACUGGGCGUAAAGCGUGCGCAGGCGGUUUUGUAAGUCUGUCGUGAAAGCCCCGGGCUUAACCUGGGAAUUGCGAUGGAGACUGCAAGGCUUGAAUCUGGCAGAGGGGGGUAGAAUUCCACGUGUAGCAGUGAAAUGCGUAGAGAUGUGGAGGAACACCGAUGGCGAAGGCAGCCCCCUGGGUCAAGAUUGACGCUCAUGCACGAAAGCGUGGGGAGCAAACAGGAUUAGAUACCCUGGUAGUCCACGCCCUAAACGAUGUCUACUAGUUGUCGGGUCUUAAUUGACUUGGUAACGCAGCUAACGCGUGAAGUAGACCGCCUGGGGAGUACGGUCGCGAAGAUUAAAACUCAAAUGAAUUGACGG